AUACAUGCAAGUCGAGCGAACAGACGAGGAGCUUGCUCCUCUGACGUUAGCGGCGGACGGGUGAGUAACACGUGGGUAACCUACCUAUAAGACUGGAAUAACUCCGGGAAACCGGGGCUAAUGCCGGAUAAUAUGCGGAACCGCAUGGUUCCGCAAUGAAAGACGGUUUUGCUGUCACUUAUAGAUGGACCCGCGCCGUAUUAGCUAGUUGGUAAGGUAACGGCUUACCAAGGCAACGAUACGUAGCCGACCUGAGAGGGUGAUCGGCCACACUGGAACUGAGACACGGUCCAGACUCCUACGGGAGGCAGCAGUAGGGAAUCUUCCGCAAUGGGCGAAAGCCUGACGGAGCAACGCCGCGUGAGUGAUGAAGGUCUUCGGAUCGUAAAACUCUGUUAUUAGGGAAGAACAAGUGCGUAGGUAACUAUGCGCACCUUGACGGUACCUAAUCAGAAAGCCACGGCUAACUACGUGCCAGCAGCCGCGGUAAUACGUAGGUGGCAAGCGUUAUCCGGAAUUAUUGGGCGUAAAGCGCGCGUAGGCGGUUUUUUAAGUCUGAUGUGAAAGCCCACGGCUCAACCGUGGGGGGUCAUUGGAAACUGGAAAACUUGAGUGCAGAAGAGGAAAGUGGAAUUCCAUGUGUAGCGGUGAAAUGCGCAGAGAUAUGGAGGAACACCAGUGGCGAAGGCGACUUUCUGGUCUGCAACUGACGCUGAUGUGCGAAAGCGUGGGGAUCAAACAGGAUUAGAUACCCUGG
rnacentral:rRNA from 1 species